rnacentral:lncRNA from 9 species
GGGUACCAGCUCCUUACUGCCCUGCAGGCGUUCGUGCUUGUGGUCAAGAGAAAGAGGACGUAAAUUCUUUAAAUCCCAGAAGGUCUGCAGGUCCGUAGGUCUGUGUUCACAGACGUCUGGAGGGAAGAAAAAAAGGAGGAAGCUAUCCUGCAUUGUCUCAGGAAACGACCCAUCAUGCAAAAAUCCUGCAAAGAAAACGAAGGAAAGUCCAAGUGCAGCGUGCCAAAGAGAGAGGAAGAACGCCCCUAUGGAGAAUUUGAACGCCAGCAAACAGAAGGGAAUUUUAGGCAAAGGCUGCUUCAGUCUCUCGAGGAAUUUAAAGAGGACAUAGACUAUAGGCAUUUUAGGGAUGAAGAAAUGACAAGAGAGGGAGAUGAGAUGGAAAGGUGUUUGGAAGAGAUAAGGGGUCUGAGAAGGAAAUUUAGGGCUCUGCAUUCUAACUAUAGGCAUUCUCGUGGGGGUCCUUAUCCCAUUUAAUGCAUUUCUUCGCCCAGUUCAACUGUUUUCUUUGUUAAUAUUGCCAUCAUUGGUCCUUUUUGUCUGCCUUUUCUUGCUAAAUAUUUGCUACUAUUUUAUUUCAAUCCUUCAGUGUUCUUUUGAUUUAUACAUGACUCUUGUUACCAACACUUCAUCUUUUGACCCAAUCUCACUCAUUUAAUAGGGUUGUUUCAUUCGUUUGCAUGGGAAGAUGCUCAUUGUACAUUGUAAAGUGAAAAGAAUAUGCUGCAAAAUGAUAUAUAUAGAUCUAGCUAUAUAUAUCUUAUGUGUACAUUUAUAUAGGUCAUAAAUGCAAAAAAGUCUGAAUUAUUAUACACCAAAGGGUUAACUGUGAAUCUCUGUGUGACCUGUAUUUUUUUUCCUUUUUUGCCUAUUUGCAUCUCCUCAUUUUCCAAAAAAAAUGAACUAUAUAUAUGUGUGUGUAUGUGUGUGUAUUACUUGUGCCAUGAAAAAAACCUAAAAUAAACACAAUAAAAAAACUUGUUAAUCACCUUUGAAGGGCAAUGAAACAGUUAAUAAACUCUUAAUAACAGGACUAUAAAAAAGAUAUGUAAACUUCAAAUUACCUCUUGAUCACCUAGCCAGGGGAAUAAAACUGGCAAUUAUUACCGAUACACUUGCUUAAGACUCCAUCUUUUCAUGUUGAAAACAUUUGCCUAACAGGGCUGCUGUGGGGAAGAAGUGAGGUGACUGUGCUUGGUGGACCCUUGUUCCCACCUAUGCAUACAGAACCCCAACCCACUACAGAACAUCAGCUAGUUGAGGGAGGGCCCUGGCAUGACCAGUGCUCAGGAACAAGUCCAAUAGGCUGGGGAGGGUGGUGGUGCUUCCCUGCCAGGCCUCUGCUGUUGAGCCCCACUGCUGGCGUCCCUGGGUCCUGCCAUGCCUGCUGGGCACUGCUGCCUUUUCGGCUGUGUCCUUUGCUUUCUGCUGGCUCCCACUGCUGCUGGUGCGCUGGAGUCCUUGUGUGCCAAGACCCCAAAGACUUUCCUAGAGUUCCCAGUGGGCUUAACCCCCACUCUGUCUUCUAAAGCUUCUUUCUCUGCUUUAUAAUGACACGUAACACAGGUGGAGACUGUCCCAGGAUUGUUUGGACCACAAUGUCUUGCAGGAUUCUUGGUAAAAUAGUCCCUUUCAUUUUCGCUUUGCUUUGCUAUGCUGUGCUGUGCUUUUCUUUCUUUCUUUCUUUCUUUCUUUCUUUCUUUCUUUCUUUCUUUCUUUCUUUCUUUCUUUCUUUCUUUCUUUCUUUCUUUUCUUUCUAGGGCUGCAGGUGUGGCAUAUGGAAGUUCCCAAGCUAGGGGUUGAUGGGAGCUACAACUGCCAGCCUACACCAGCCACAGCAACAUAGGAUCCAAGCCACAUCUGAGAACUACAGGACUGCUCACAGCAAUGCCGGAUCCUUAACCCACUGAGCCAGGCCAGGGGUCAAACCCAUGUCCUCAUGGAUACUAGUCGGGUUCUUUACCAUUGAGCCAUGAUGGGACAUCCCAGCCCCUUCUAUUUUCAAUCACAGGAUACCUCUUCUGUAGGAGCCAGACCCGCUGAGUCUAUUUGGGGAGUUAAACCAGGGUACAAGCUUGAGCAAAAGAUGUCAUACUAUAAGUCUAAGAACUGAGGUUUUUUUCUUCUCUUGUAAGAUGAUCUCUCCCUGCAGACUCCUGGAAAGCCUGCUUUACUGGUUCAGAAGACUCGGGGGACAUGUGUAAAUUACACAAAGUGAUGCAGGAAAUAGAUCUAGGGGCACAAUCCCUUUCUCUCCAUCCCUUCCAAUCCUGAAACAUUUAAGAAUUCCUUGUAAGACUAAUAUAUAUAUAUAUAUAUAUAUAACAUACAUUAUGAUAUAUACAUACAUGCAUAUAUCAUAAUAUAUGUAUUUAUACCUUUUAGUGUAUAUAUGUACAUAUUUUAUAUAUAUUACAUAUAUGACAUAUGUAUUUUAUAUAUAUAUAUGCACUUAAGCUUUAUUUCCUAAGUGGGCUUUUUACAUUUCACACUUCAAAGUAAAGACUGUUAUAUUUCAUUAUAUUUAUCAUUUCUUUUUAUUUCUAUUGAUUGCUGCUAUGGCUUACACAUGGGUACUUAAUAAAUGUUUACUUAAUUAUAA